ensembl:ncRNA K06A5.10 ncRNA
UGGGCGUGGUGAAAUUUUUGAAGGCUAGUGUGGUUGGACCUCUACUAGAUAGACAAAACCCCCGAAAUAGACGUUUAAUUUGAUGAGAUGGUGGAGAAAGAAAAGGACUCAUUCUCUAGA